rnacentral:tRNA from 7 species
GGGCUAUUAGCUCAGUGGUAGAGCGCGCCCCUGAUAAUUGCGCUUCACGGGCGAGGUCUCUGGUUCAAGUCCAGGAUGGCCCA